AUUGGCCAUCUAAGAUGGGGAAAAGCGUCCACGCUGUUAAACGAUGUCUACUUUGGAGGGUUGUGGCCUUGAGCCCGUGGCUUUCGGAGCUAACGCGUUAAGUAGACCGCCUGGGGAGUACGGUCGCAAGAUUAAAACUCAAAUGAAUUGACGGGGGCCCGCACAAGCGGUGGAGCAUGUGGUUUAAUUCGAUGCAACGCGAAGAACCUUACCUACUCUUGACAUCCAGAGAAUCCUGCGGAGACGCGGGAGUGCCUUCGGGAACUCUGAGACAGGUGCUGCAUGGCUGUCGUCAGCUCGUGUUGUGAAAUGUUGGGUUAAGUCCCGCAACGAGCGCAACCCUUAUCCUUGUUUGCCAGCGAGUAAUGUCGGGAACUCCAGGGAGACUGCCGGUGAUAAACCGGAGGAAGGUGGGGACGACGUCAAGUCAUCAUGGCCCUUACGAGUAGGGCUACACACGUGCUACAAUGGCGCAUACAGAGGGCGGCGAGCUAGCGAUAGUGAGCGAAUCCCAAAAAGUGCGUCGUAGUCCGGAUUGGAGUCUGCAACUCGACUCCAUGAAGUCGGAAUCGCUAGUAAUCGUGGAUCAGAAUGCCACGGUGAAUACGUUCCCGGGCCUUGUACACACCGCCCGUCACACCAUGGGAGUGGGCUGCAAAAGAAGCAGGUAGUCUAACCAUCGUGACGACGCAUGCCAUAGAGUGACCGCCG
rnacentral:rRNA from 1 species